GGAGGGGUGGCAGAGUGGUCGAUUGCGGCGGCUUGCUAAGCCGUUAAGUGGGUUUAACCUGCUUCCUGGGUUCGAAUCCCAGCCCCUCCG
rnacentral:tRNA from 1 species